rnacentral:ribozyme from 1 species
AACAAUACUUCGCAGAUGGGGUGGAUCCGAAUCCUCUAGAAGGUUAACAUAGGCUCUUCAUCUCCUACUCAAUCUGGGUGUCCUUCAUCCGGUCUACAAAAAGGGCG